UUGUCGUCGUCAAAGAAACGAAAACACGAAGAAGCUACAUGAAAUCGGGACAAGCAACGGCAUAAAACGAGGAUAAACCCAGAUGGAAAUCCCUGAUGAGAGAAAUGUUUGCAGACUGACGCCGAAGUUUCCUGUUUACUGCUGGACAGGCACUAUGGGUUGGCAUUAUUCACCAUGUCUGUGACAUUCACAACCCGCCAUAUCAGAAGUAUUGCAGACCAAGUCGGGAGAGGUCUAGAAGCAGUUUUCCAUGCAGCUGCUGCUCUACACACAGCUCCUGGAGCAGAUGAGGAACAGCAGUGCCAGUGAAUCAUGGGUGUCGUUCCUGCCAUGAGAGCAUCUUCAUCUAGAGCAGUAAAUCGAAUACCUUUGGUGUUGUUUUAGUCUGACCCUUGUCAGCUAUUAUAUGUGCAGCAAUUUGACUGCUGGAAGGUGAUCGGAUAAGUUUAAUCACGCUGCUUUUAGUGAUCAAACAGACUAAUGAUUUGAUAGAUUAUUCUGUCUUUAUCAGAAUCAACUCUGAAGAACACAGAAUAAGCUGUCAAAAUGUUUGUUUGAACAGUAA